ACAAAUAUAGAUGUGAGAGCAGGCAGUGCCACCAUAUAUAAGAAAAACUGAGCCAGCACAAUUGCAGACAUCUAAUAUACUAAUGAAAGUUAGUAGUGAAUAUGAUAGGCAAUUUGCUGCUGCAGACAAAUACAGAGAUAUAUGUAUAGCAGAAGCAAUAAUUAAUAAGAAAUGUUUAUUGGUGUCCAUUCACAUAAAUCUCAACAUCUUGGAGAACAUGGAAUUUAUCAUCUCUCUCAGUUCACUUGUUUACAGCCCCGAUAUUGGCAAAAUAAGUUCAGAACUACAUUAACUGUCUUUUGCGGCAUACUUCAAUGACAGAACUAAUGAGAUAGUGCCA
rnacentral:lncRNA from 1 species